ensembl:vault_RNA Vault Vault RNA
CGGUCGGAGUUAGCUCAAGCGGUAUCUCCUCAUACCGGACUUUCUAUCUGUCUAUCUCUGCGCUGGGGUUCAAGGCCCGUGGGUGCUUACUGACCUUUCC